GUUUAGUAUAUCCUCCUUCCCAUGACUUAACUCUUUUAAAAGAGGUUUCAAGACACCUGUUCUCUAGUUUUGGAUGAUCCUUUUGACCUUUCUUUUGGGAUUGCAUCAGUGGGACUUUUCUUUUUGGUCUUUUCGUUGUCCUUGGCCAGUGACUGUCUUAAAGAAAAAAAAAAAACGUAUUUUAUUGAGGCGACUGCAAAAGAGCGAACGUGUUUUAUUGUACCAAGCAUGUAAUAAGUUUAUAGCUACGUGUAAUUACCAUGUUGAAAUUGGCUUGUGGAGAUAGCGAUGUUGUGUGUGUGUGUGUGUGUGUGUGUGUGUGUGUGUGUGUGUGUGAGGGACGGAGAAUGAGGUGAAAAGCAGCACGUGGUGGUCGUGCUCGGUGUCCUAUGAUGGCGAGGAGUGAGGAGGACGCAUGCGGCUGAUGGUGAGGUCGAGCGCGGUGCGGGUCGGCUUAGCACGUGGCCAGUGGGGCUGGAGACAGGCUGUCGUGCGGAGACUCAGCCAAGGGCGGAAGAGACACGCUCUUGGCUUCCCGAUGCUCGCCGCCGUGAGCUUCGAGCUUGCCAUCAACAAAGCUCUUUCCUUUCAAUCCUGGCCAAGUGUCUUUUUGACGAGAAGCCGUGAGCUGCGAUGGACGCUCGUACCGUGAGGGUUACUCGCAUCUGACACGUGAAGAGCCCUUGCACGCCUCCUCCACACACCUUUUUGUGUGGUGUAAGAGCUUGUGAGAAGCGGCGUUGAAGUAGUAUUGGACGAGACGAAACAAAUUAGUUUAUGCUAGAUCCAAUUAGUUUUUCUUAACACGAAAGCAACGAAAAACGCUUUUGUAAUUUAAUGUUAAUGGUGACAAAGCUCAGAAAACCGAUUCUUAUGAAUCUCUGUUAUGUUGAUUGAUGAUACAUGAUAUUUUGGUGCUAUUUCUUUGACUUGCAUCCUAUUCUAGUUCUUACUGUUUGACAAAAAAAUCAAGUGCUAAAAAAUAUUUUGCCUAAAUUGGUGAGGAAACUAAAAACUAAAAAAUAAAAUAAAAUAAAUAAAUAAAAAUUGAAAUAACUGAAAACGACAAUGAAUUUUAGUGAAGAGUCUUUUGGACGACAGCGAACUGAUGUUUGUCCUUAAUUGUGGAUGUGCAGGAAGGGAGAACUAACCAUAUCUUGCAUGGCAGGGAGAUGAAGACACCGUAUCUGGCCCCAUGCUGCCCUUGCUCCUUUUCGCGACCCUGGUGCUCCUCCAGGGUCACGCCGCUAUUCACCAAGUGACCCCGAGCUACGCUUCAAAGGCCACUCCUGCUGCCUUUUUGCCUGGACACACGCGGACAAAGGCAGACAGACCAGCAGUCAUCCAGCACACACCACGACAGACAG